rnacentral:tRNA from 1 species
GCCGGGAUGGCAGAAUCAGGUAAUGCGCUGGACUCGAGUGUUCGAUGAUGACCCCUGAGGUAUCUGAUUGAUGAUGAUACGUCGAUGUUCAGAGAUAUCCAGUGCCCUUUGGGCUCGAGAGUUCAAAUCUCUCUCCCGGCG